GGCAUCCGGAGAUGACGGAAGAACCUCAGCUACUUGUGACCUGGUUUGAAUUACAAAGGUACAACGCCAGGCUGGUGCCCCCUCCCCCGCAUCCUCUCUCUGUCCUGUCCCUCCUACUCCUCCCCAUCUCCCACCUCCCACUCCCCAACCCCUCGGAAAUAAGAUCUAUAAGAGUGGUCACACAGGAAUAAAGACGCAGAUGUAGAGAAUGGACUUGAGGACACGGGGAGCGAGAAGGAUAAAUAAGAAUGAUUCCCAAGAGGGUGCUGUCUCCAGGGUGAUGGACUUCACUUUCAGAAAGGGGACUGCCACUUGCACAGAAGGUUGACCUAGAAGCUGGGCUGGAGGCAGAGAAGAGCACUACCCGGAACUGUGCAGACUGGCAUCGCAUCCUGCUCCUGCUAUGAUAUAGCUCCGCGGGUCUCUUCGGGCAGGUCACUUUACCCGCCAGGGCCUCAGUUCCUCCAGUAGCAAGUGAAGGCAUUGGACUAGAUCAGUGGUUCUCAGCCAUGGUUGGGAUGAGGAGGGAUUAGUUUUCAACGACGCAACUCCCAUUGCACAACACAAGAUAACACUUUGCUUCUCCAAGUGUCCUCGGAUUGCCAGCAUCUGCGUUAUCUGGGAGCUUGUUAAAAAUGCAGAAUCUCAGGCCCCACCUCAAACCUACUGAAUAGGAAUCUGCAUGUUAACAAGACCCCCAGGUGUAAAGUUUGAGAAGCGCUGCUCUACUGCACCCGCAAGGGACAUAAUUCGGUGGGAUGUUGGGGAGUGAAGUGGAACAUCUGGAAAAACUCCAUGAGUGACUCUGAUAUGCCCUCUACCGGGUGGGAGCAACUGGACUAUUUGGCGCCUGAGAUUCUUUUCAAACCUACACUGCUCAGGUGCUGAGCAGCCAGACUCGCAAGGAUUAAUGGGAGGUGAAGGCUGCUUCCGGUGUGAUGUAUGGAGUGGGGGUCGGGAGGUUGCCAUUGGACGUCAUUCCAGAAGCAAACAUCAAGACUGUGUGGUGAUAAACGUGAGUCCCCGAGGUGGCUGACCUGAAAGCCGGUUCACAUCCUGCACUUCCCCAGCUGCCCGCUGGGGGGCAGGACAGCACAGUCCCAGGCUGCAGUCCCCAGGCUGCAGGUUCCUCGGUCACUUUCCCAUUCCUGACUUCACUCACCCACCGUAGAGGGAUUCUAUUCCCACUUCCCAGGAGAGGACAGGGUGACUCAGAGACGUUGCCCAGAGGGCCAGCCCAGGUGUUUUGACUUCCCAAACUCCCUCUCAGCCCCUCCAGGACUGUCCUGCCAGGGGUGCCAGAACUGAGGGGUCGGAGGUGGCCUGGGGGGGGGGUUGUGGCUGCAGCCAGGCAGCAUUGCCGUCAGAGUGAGCAAGUGAGCGUCAGGGCCCCACCAAAGGCCCCCGAUAAGAACGCAGGUCAGGGCUUCCCUGGUGGCGCAGUGGUUGAGAGUCCACCUGCCGAUGCAGGGGACGCGGGUUCGUGCCCCGAUCCAGCAAGAUCCCACAUGCCGCGGAGCGGCUGGACCCGUGAGCCAUGGCUGCUGAGCCUGCGCGUCCGGAGCCUGUGCUCCGCAACGGGAGAGGCCACAGCAGUGAGAGACAGAAGGAUCUGCGAGGGGAGGAGGGGCAGUCCCAGCCCUGCCCAGACAGGCCCAGCCGGCCCCACAGCUGCCCUCCUGUCCCUGGGGGCAGCAAUGGGGGAGAGCAGGAGAGGACUCGCCAGGCUCCUGGGGUCUAAGUCCCCCAGACCCAGGAAGACAAAAGCGGAGCCCCAGGGAGUGGGGUGGACCUGAGAGUCCCCGUAACACGCCUGUCCCUCCUCCACCCAGGCAGACAGAAACAAACAUUUGGCCCCCUCAAGUGGUCUGCUUUCCUCUGUAACCCCUAAACCAUUCGGAUGCCCCCAUUUAAGAAACUUUGUGACCCCAGACUCUCCCAAACAAGUGGUGGAAUGGGCCAGCCUGGGUACCAUAUUUGGCUCUGAGAAACUGGGUUAGGGUUAGAGUGGGGGGAAACAGGAAUCCCACUGGGGUAGAUGAUAAUUUUGGCCAAGAUGUAGGAUGGAGAGGUGAAGGAACGUAAUACCCUACUCUGCCCCCUUGGAGCCAAAAACUGACCCUGUCAACUUUCCCAGGUUCGGGGCUCUGGAGCCAUGAGGCGUUUACUCAUCUGACAUGUGUUAGGCACCAACUGCGCACCAGGCGUUUGAGCAGCCUGGGAAAGUGUGCAUAUCCGGGGGUUCCCGAUGGGUCCAGUGAGGAAAUUCUGUGCACACCGUGGUUGCAUAACUGUGGCAGGUCUCUAGCUGGGAGUUGCACUAGGAACCUUUCCCUCAUGCUUUUCAGCUGGGUGGGAGCCCAUCAGGUAUCUUGGCUGCCUUUCAUCACCUUGUCCCUGAUAGGGAUCAUCCUGGGUGAAGAAAUCGCUGUCAGUCACCCCCACCUCUCUCAGAGCCAGAAGGCCUGAUUGACAGGCACACACCCACGGGGGUGGGGUGAGGGGGCCAAGGGGCUGGCCAUCUGUGGGAAGGCAGGGAACCGGCAUUCUUGGCAGGGGAGGCGAAAGAGGGGGCUUCCAUGUGGAAGAGGAAGGAAAUAUCUAGAACCUUUUCAUCUCCACAGGAGAAGACCAGGGAGGGACAGUCAGCCCAGCUACCAACCCUGAGGGAGCGCCACCCUCCUUCUGCAUCAACAACCUCCGGGCAGGAUCAGACCCUUCAAUCAGCUCAGCUCUGCCCCCAAACAAAGGGAGGUGAGGCUGCCCAGGGCUGCAGGAUCAAAGAGAAGUGUCCACCCCACCCUGCAGCCAGCCUGGUCCUUGCUGCUGAGACACCAUGAGUCAAAAAGGAAACCAGAGCUGGAAGACAAAUGAAGCAGUGAUGUGUUUGAUGACUUUAUUAUGGCAUAAAAAACACAGGCUGUUUCUUCCUCCUCUUCCCCCCCAAAAUGGGUUCACAGCACUUAAAGAAAAAAAAAUCCUACAUUUCUCCUCUAGGGGGCUGCCUAGAAGGGGGCAGACAGCCAAGCAACCUAGAUCUAUAAAAGAGGGGAGCAGAAGAAAACCUAUCCAAAGCCCUCACCAGCACACCUUAGAGCUCGGGGCCUCCAUGGGGGGAAUAUCCGUGCUGUCCUCUCCCCAACGCACAUUUGGGAGUUCCCCUGAGGAUGGUCACUGGGAAAGGCUGUCCUAGUAGCAAAGGGAGAGGUGGCUGGUUCCUCAGCUGGAGGAAAACGGCAUCUCACACCCACAGUGCCCUCCCUCUCUCCCCCUCAUCCACCUGGCUAGGCAACUUGCAGGCACUGCCAGCUCUCUUCUGCCCCCAGCCCUCUCAGCAAGGAAAGGGACCUCUGGUCGGAUUAGCAGGAGGUAGGGGAAGAGGGAGCAUAAAGAAAGGACAUUACUUCUUAACCUACCCCAGGCCCGUGCGUCCUUCAGGGAGAGUCACCCCAUCCCUCUUAAGAAGGGCUCUCUUCUACACAAACAUAGUCCCACCCAGAUCCCAGCCCCACUUCCCAAUAGCACCCAAUCCUUGGACUGAUAUCCCCAAGGAAGGAAGAGAUGCUGUGGGCCUAGGCUCCAGGACCUCGGCUGGGGUGAACAAGAUGGGGUCUCCCUGGCUGGAGACCCCAGGCUCAGUAGAGAAACACACACACACACAGAAACACACACAUACACAGGUACACAAAACAUGAACACACAUGUCCUAAUAUUAAAUAAAAUACCCUUUGCUUAUAACUUAAAAAAUCAAUACACAACUAAUCCUUGCACAGGGCUCUGGGUGGAGAAAGCAAGGCAGGGAAACGGGAGGUCGGGGGGAAUCUUAAGGCCUCUACUUGGAGCCUGGGAAAGCCCACUAGUUCCAGGCUCCUGUGGCCUGUCAGUCCCUGCCCCUAUCAGCUUUUUUCCUUUUGCCUGGCUCAGCCUCUUCUGGCUUCCCCCACUCCCCACGCUCCCCACUCCAGGAUUACCAACAGGAUGUAUUUCUAGCAUCUAAAGAGGGGAACAGGGACAGCUUCCUGGACAUCACCUCAGAAGGCAGGCCCCUUCCAGUGACAGGACAACUUCCUCAUAUGGAAGGGGAGCCCCACAAGAGAUGAGAUGGGGAGGAGCCUCCUAACACACUCUACAGGAGGGGCAAGGCUUUUAGGCAGCACGAAAGGGGAGCGUCGAGCUAAAGAAAGAGUGGGGCUUAGCUUCUCUGCAAGCAGAUGGCCAGGCAGGGACAGAGUCCUCCGCUCUGAGCAGGAACCGCUGGAGGUCCCUCUGCUGGGACACCCCCACCUACCCUCACCCAACCGAGGUAACCCUCUUCCUUCCAACCCUAAGGGGAGGGCAAAUGCCAGGCACCAAGGGUGAGGAACUACGUCAAUUCUGAAGCAAGGGCUCUUGGCUGUCUCGAAGGCCUGCCUGGGGUGACAGAUGAGAGUGGACUACUGAACUUUACUUUUAUAAAGACCAAGAGUUAAGGACUGAAUCAGAGUUAGAGAGGGAAGGGCUUAGUUCCACUCCCUGACCAAAUCCCUUUCUCUCAUUUUAGAGGAGACUUCCUUGCUCAACCUCCACAUCUAGCUCCCUCCUCCACCCCACAGUUCUGGCUGGAAGCUGUCGCCCAUUCUGGCCCUUUUCCCUUCUUCCCUCGUGGCUCCAUCAGACUGGGUCUGGAAGGCUUAAUAAGGAGGCACAUCAGAGACAUUAUUUCUGCGGUGACAAUCCUCCCAGCCAGAUAGAAACUCCUCCCUUAGGGGGACCCCCAGCCUCUGCCACCCCAUCUCAGCUCUCCCUCCGGAAACCCCGGGGUAAAGCACUCUAAGGGGGAUGAAAGGGACCCGGGCUGCAGCGCGGCUCCAGAGGCCCUUUUAUGUCCGGGUUCCCAGGCGCUAACGACGUGUCCAGACAGCUACCCGGAGCGCCCGGGGCGGCCCCACUCCUCUCUGCUCCGGGGACGCGCCGUAUCCUCCAACCUAUCCCCUCGGCCCUCCAGCCACCGUAGGGGUAGUCCGCCCCAACCCCCCAGCCCAGAGGCGUGAGUGAAAGAGCGAGGAAGGGGAGAACUGAUGGGCAUGCGCAGCUCCUCCCUGCCCAGUCAAACGCGUCCGUCCUGUCCAGCCCCAGAGACUAUGAAAUCCCUAGCGACCCGGCUCCCUGACCCCCGCACCACUUUCCCUCCCUCUCAAUAAAUAACCACCUUCUCUUACUCAAGCCACCCCCACAAGGGCAUCAGGCCAGAGGGCUCUCUUCUGAUGGCCCCAGGGGAGACCAACGGGGAGGCGGGACGGGGAGGCGGGACGAGGAGCUCAGUUGGAGGGAGCCGCACUGCCCUCGGCCUCGCGCUUGCCUUUGCCCCCGGGGGGCUCCGCUCCGCCGGCCUUGCCCUCUCCCGCCGCCGCCCCGGCAGCCUCCUCUUUGGCGCCCUCGUGGGUUUUCAUGUGUUUGGCCAGGUGGUCGCUGCGCAUGAAGACUCGGCUGCAGACUGCACAGGGGAACUUCUUGGUGCCGGUGUGGGUCUGGAGGUGGCGCUGCAGCUCGUCGGAGCGCGUGAAGCGCUUGCCGCAGAAGAGCCAGUUGCACACGAAGGGGCGGUCGCCGCUGUGCCAGCGCAGGUGUGCCUUCAGUCUAUUUCGUACAGCCCGAGCAGAACUUAGGCUGAUUCGUUUCCGCGGGUACAGCCCCGAUUCCACCACCGUUGGUUUACCUGUCCUGAAUACGAAGUGCGACUAUUAAACGGCUAAACUGAUCCACAAGCCACUUGAAAAUCGAUC